ACAGUUUGAUCCUGGCUCAGAUUGAACGCUGGCGGCAUGCCUUACACAUGCAAGUCGAACGGUAACAGGUUAAGCUGACGAGUGGCGAACGGGUAAGUAAUGUAUCGGAACGUGCCCAGUCGUGGGGGAUAACUGCUCGAAAGAGCAGCUAAUACCGCAUACGACCUGAGGGUGAAAGCGGGGGAUCGCAAGACCUCGCGCGAUUGGAGCGGCCGAUAUCAGAUUAGGUAGUUGGUGGGGUAAAGGCUCACCAAGCCAACGAUCUGUAGCUGGUCUGAGAGGACGACCAGCCACACUGGGUCUGAGACACGGCCCAGACUCCUACGGGAGGCAGCAGUGGGGAAUUUUGGACAAUGGGCGCAAGCCUGAUCCAGCCAUGCCGCGUGCGGGAAGAAGGCCUUCGGGUUGUAAACCGCUUUUGUCAGGGAAGAAAAGGUUCUGGCUAAUACCUGGGACUCAUGACGGUGCCUGAAGAAUAAGCACCGGCUAACUACGUGCCAGCAGCCGCGGUAAUACGUAGGGUGCAAGCGUUAAUCGGAAUUACUGGGCGUAAAGCGUGCGCAGGCGGUUAUGCAAGACAGAGGUGAAAUCCCCGGGCUCAACCUGGGAACUGCCUUUGUGACUGCAUAGCUAGAGUGCGGCAGAGGGGGAUGGAAUUCCGCGUGUAGCAGUGAAAUGCGUAGAUAUGCGGAGGAACACCGAUGGCGAAGGCAAUCCCCUGGGCCUGCACUGACGCUCAUGCACGAAAGCGUGGGGAGCAAACAGGAUUAGAUACCCUGGUAGUCCACGCCCUAAACGAUGUCAACUGGUUGUUGGGAGGGUUUCUUCUCAGUAACGUAGCUAACGCGUGAAGUUGACCGCCUGGGGAGUACGGCCGCAAGGUUGAAACUCAAAGGAAUUGACGGGGACCCGCACAAGCGGUGGAUGAUGUGGUUUAAUUCGAUGCAACGCGAAAAACCUUACCUACCCUUGACAUGUCUGGAAUCCUGAAGAGAUUUGGGAGUGCUCGAAAGAGAGCCAGAACACAGGUGCUGCAUGGCCGUCGUCAGCUCGUGUCGUGAGAUGUUGGGUUAAGUCCCGCAACGAGCGCAACCCUUGUCAUUAGUUGCUACGAAAGGGCACUCUAAUGAGACUGCCGGUGACAAACCGGAGGAAGGUGGGGAUGACGUCAGGUCAUCAUGGCCCUUAUGGGUAGGGCUACACACGUCAUACAAUGGCCGGGACAGAGGGCUGCCAACCCGCGAGGGGGAGCUAAUCCCAGAAACCCGGUCGUAGUCCGGAUCGUAGUCUGCAACUCGACUGCGUGAAGUCGGAAUCGCUAGUAAUCGCGGAUCAGCUUGCCGCGGUGAAUACGUUCCCGGGUCUUGUACACACCGCCCGUCACACCAUGGGAGCGGGUUCUGCCAGAAGUAGUUAGCCUAACCGCAAGGAGGGCGAUUACCACGGCAGGGUUCGUGACUGGGGUGAAGUCGUAACAAGGUAACC
rnacentral:rRNA from 1 species